GUCAGCCUAUUACUGACUCUUGAGUUAUUGAGCUAGAAUUUCUUAACUUCUCUACAUCUUAUUACACCCUAUUAUAAUACUGAACAGGAAUCUUGUGAAGUAGAUAUUUUUAUUGCUUUUUUUAGACAGAGAAAUUAAGUUUUAGAGAGAUUAAGAACCUUAAGUUAUAUAUAUUUGUUUCUAUUUUAGGUGUCAGUACUUAUAUAAAUCCUUUCUACCUCUGACAGGAAAUUUUCUACUUAAUCCAUUUUGUUAAUUCAUAAUGCUUUAAUGAAAUGGCUGUAGUUUUGAUGUUUUUGAGUGAUCAUACUCCAUUUUUGUAUACUUGCUUUUGACAAGAAACAUUGGGGUAUGUGGCCUGUAGCUUCUUCCAUUCUUUGAUCUAGUCAAUUAGCAGCUUACGUACUCAUAAACUGUGGCACAGUGCUGCUCAGG
rnacentral:lncRNA from 1 species